CAGUAGGGAAUCUUCCGCAAUGGACGAAAGUCUGACGGAGCAACGCCGCGUGAGUGAUGAAGGGUUUCGGCUCGUAAAGCUCUGUUGUUAAGGAAGAAUACUUGAGGUAGUAACUGGCCUUGAGAUGACGGUACUUAACCAGAAAGCCACGGCUAACUACGUGCCAGCAGCCGCGGUAAUACGUAGGUGGCAAGCGUUAUCCGGAAUUAUUGGGCGUAAAGCGCGCGUAGGCGGUAAAAUAAGUCUGAUGUGAAAGCCCCCGGCUCAACCGGGGAGGGUCAUUGGAAACUGUUUUACUUGAGUACAGAAGAGGAGAGUGGAAUUCCAUGUGUAGCGGUGAAAUGCGCAGAGAUAUGGAGGAACACCAGUGGCGAAGGCGGCUCUCUGGUCUGUUACUGACGCUGAGGUGCGAAAGCGUGGGGAUCAAACAGGAUUAGAUACCCUGGUAGUCCACGCCGUAAACGAUGAGUGCUAAGUGUUGGGGGGUUUCCGCCCCUCAGUGCUGCAGCUAACGCAUUAAGCACUCCGCCUGGGGAGUACGACCGCAAGGUUGAAACUCAAAGGAAUUGACGG
rnacentral:rRNA from 1 species